GAAAUGCGAUAAGUAGUGUGAAUUGCAGAAUUCAGUGAAUCAUCGAAUCUUUGAACGCACAUUGCGCCCCUUGGUAUUCCAUGGGGCAUGCCUGUUCGAGCGUCAUUUGUACCUUCAAGCUCUGCUUGGUGUUGGGUGUUUGUCCUUUCUCUUGCAGAGGGACUCGCCUUAAAGUAAUUGGCAGCCAGUGUUUUGGUUUUGAAGCGCAGCACAAGUCGCGAUUCAAGGCUAUACGCAAGCUUCCACAAGCCUUUUUUCACUUUUGACCUCGGAUCAGGCGGGGCUACCCGCUGAGUUUAA
rnacentral:misc_RNA from 1 species